rnacentral:lncRNA from 1 species
AUUUUUUACUGAUGAGAUGAACUAUUUACACAUGCCCAAUGACCUCCACAAAUGGAUGCGUUUACAAAGAGUCGGAAGCGAAACAACGCGAUCGGUUGAUUCAAUGACAGUUUAGGAAAACCAUGGAUUGCCCUCUCAUUAUUCUAAUUAAUUAAUUCUUAACAGUCCCAACACUAAUUAACAUGAGGAUGAGAGAUGUACUUGUGCUUUGGAUUUGAAUAAAGCAAAGAUGGAGGGAGGCUGCUGCGUCAACCACGUACAGGACAAGCAUUUAUCGAAUGGGAGUGCAUAGCUAGAGCGUGAGGAAUGACUGCCUAGUCAGUCUUUGGCUCAGCUACCCGUUGCAACUGCAGUAUAUAUAUCACUGGAAAUCUGGUUAACACUUUUCGUGUCCAAGUGAAGCUCCAAGUCAUCUGCAGGCUGUUCCUUUUGUGGUAAAGUUAGGUUGAUCUCAUGAACAAGCCCUUCAAUAGCAGCAGCGACUGAUCUUAUUCUCUUGACCUUGCUCUUCAUGAAGAACCUCCCUCCUUGGAGGGAUGUCUUGUUGCAGCAGGUCAGUAGGUUGAUCAAUGUCCAGUCCUCGGCAUGAUCUCAUGGCAAGGAAUUCGGCGAAUAUUCUUGCAGUUCCUUCAAUUUCUAGUUAAGUUCAUGACUGUAUAGUUAUGCGAACCCAUCCGCCGAUUCAUGCCAUAGUCAUGUCCAAGCAUUAGAGUAGGAGGGAGAUGUACGACGAAUCUAGAAGGAACAACGUGCAUGCCAUAAUUCUAGUUUUCCAUUGGUAAUUCCUGAUGCCUUCUAUGCCUAUAUUUAUCUAGUUAGAUCUCUAAUAUAUAUAUGAGUCACAACAAACAAUGCAUAGAACAGUAAAAGAUAC